AUUGAACGCUGGCGGCAGGCCUAACACAUGCAAGUCGAGCGGAUGAUGGUAGCUUGCUACCUGAUUCAGCGGCGGACGGGUGAGUAAUGCCUAGGAAUCUGCCUGGUAGUGGGGGACAACGUUUCGAAAGGAACGCUAAUACCGCAUACGUCCUACGGGAGAAAGUGGGGGAUCUUCGGACCUCACGCUAUCAGAUGAGCCUAGGUACGAUUAGCUAGGUGGUGAGGUAAAGGCUCACCAAGGCGACGAUCGUUAACUGGUCUGAGAGGAUGAUCAGUCACACUGGAACUGAGACACGGGCCAGACUCCUACGGGAGGCAGCAGUGGGGAAUAUUGGACAAUGGGCGAAAGCCUGAUCCAGCCAUGCCGCGUGUGUGAAGAAGGUCUUCGGAUUGUAAAGCACUUUAAGUUGGGAGGAAGGGCAGUAAGUUAAUACCUUGCUGUUUUGACGUUACCGACAGAAUAAGCACCGGCUAACUUCGUGCCAGCAGCCGCGGUAA
rnacentral:rRNA from 1 species